GAAAAUAACCAAGCUGUUAUUUAAAAAAACAAGUGACAAUCCCAUCUGAUCUUGGAAGCUAAGCAGGGUUGGGCCUGGUUAGUACUUGGAUGAGAGACCUAGGAAGACCAGGAGCUGUAGGCU
rnacentral:rRNA from 1 species